UACAGGGGCUGGAGCUUCUUUGGGAGGCAGCAGUAUUCUGUUAAUUGGAAAGGCUCAGGGAAAGGGAGUUAUGUUCAGGACCUUUUCUUCUGAGCACUUGAGCUUGAGGAAAAGGAACAGUUAGUGAUACCAGCAACACUGGAGGAAGGGUCAGAUCUGGCACCAUCCCCAGAAGGAUAGCAUGAGCCACCAGAGGCCAUAGAGCCAUCUAUGAAGCAAAAGGUAGCUCAGUCCCAAGCAGCCAGGCCAGAGGACAUUCCACAUCUGGCAGCAAUUAUAACAGCUGUGGACAAUGAGGCAGCUGGGGCCACCUCUACUGAGACAGCAUCUCUCCUUCCGAUAGCUGCUCUUCUAGCCAUGGGGGGUCUAGAGCUUACAGGUCUAGAAACAGUCAAGCCAGACCCAAUUCCACCUAGGGCAGCGUAUCUUCUGGCUGUCGUGGAUCUAGAGCCCUUUCAGGCACCUCUCUCAGUGUCUUCACUCAGUGCUGACCUCUCCACCACUGCUGUCCUUCUCUUCCCCUGCAGAAUUGUCUUUUAAAUUUUUUUAAUACACUCCUUUUUCCAUGCUUGGAAUAUGCUUUUAAAUAUUCUUAAGAAAAUUUAAUUAUUUCCUCAUUUCAAUUGGCAUUCUGAAUCCUCUUGGCAUGCUGCAUAAGCACUGCACCAGCACUAUCUAGCUGCAGCCUGGAUCCCCAAGCAGAGUACAGGGGCCUGUGGGGAGGACAUGCUCAAGCCUCCUGGAGGAGGUGAGACAGAAGCUCCUUUGUAUGGAGAAGACACAUGUCAGGAGGCAGGUGUCAGCAUUCAGGGCAUUCAGGACACUUGAUGUCACAGGCCUAAGAAAAUGAGCUACAGGUCCUGUGCAGUCCCAGAAGUAGGGGGUCUGGAUGGCAGGAGCUGGGGUGCUGCAUGACUCAACUGGGGGUGGAGACAGGCUUCCUAAAGGAACUUCCUGAAGACUUGGACCUGACCAGCAUAGGGAACAGAGUGGGCAGAGGUCAGAGCCCAUGGCAGAAAUGGGCUGGUAGCAGGGUAAUAUUAGCAGGAAUGGCCUAGGAUCAGUUUCCCUGCAGUGGCGUUUGUCUCCACUGCCCCCCCACCCCCACAUGUGAUUUAUGGUACCAAGUCUUCUGAAGACUCUAUAAUAAAGAUGGAAUGAGCACACCAUUAUACUGAUGGAAAAGCUAAGGUUUAUGAACAAGCCUCCUCUGCCCUGUAAGGAGACAGAGCCAGGAUCUAAGCCAAAGCCUGUGAGACUCUGUGGGGCCUGCAUGACAAAUGGGAUGCACUGAAUGUCACAGGAGUGACCUCUUGACUGUGCACUUCCUAAACCUUUGUUUCUGAUGCCCAGAGAGAAGCCUUUUCCUACCCACAGAUACUAGGAGAGCCAGGGUCUAGGACCAGCCUUUCCCCACCCAGCUUCCAGCCCAGGCAAUGGGGAUGGCUCUGUCCCUUGAGUUCAGCAAGGACAGAAGAAAAAAACACACUAGUGGUAUUUGUUUAAAAAAAAAAAAAAUACUGUUCAUUAAAGUACACCCUUGGAGCAUGGUGUUUACAGCAAGAAACAUCCUGUUUAAGAAAAGCAAGGGUUGGAGGAGAACUGCACAUGUGUGUGAAAACUUCUACUCAAAAUUGGGAACAUUUUAAUACCAAAGAAAAACAAUCUGUGCAAAAGCCUGGCUAAAUAGCUCAAAGAUCUGGAUUAAAGUGUUGUUCUCAGACUGCAGCAAACUCUGGUGUAGAUACAUAGGUGUUUAGCUUUUUCAAUGUGAUUUCCUUGUAUUUAAGUCAAGAAGAAUCAUAAGCAAUUAAAAGGUAUGAUGGUGAUAUAAGGGCCCAUGUCAAUCACUGUGUCCAAAAUCAAGUGGCUAAAUGCACUUUUCCUCUUUCCAAGAAGUCCAGGCUUUGAUAACACUUGGAAGUUCACAAAAUGCCAGAAGCCACUGCAUAUGUCCUAUUAAUAGCCUUCCCCACAUGCCUAGAAUUGGCCUCAGAAAAGAACAGAUACCAGCAUAAAAGAUGAAUACACAGUUAGACUUUUAAAAUUCAGCAGAUGAAGUGGUUGCCCUUCUGAGGACAUGGUCAAAAUAAAUACAAGUACUGUUAACCCAACUCAUUGGGUAGAAUUAAAACAAACAAGGAAAAGCUUCAGUUUAUGACUUGAUAGUGGCCUGUUCUUACCUGAAAGCCAUUGCCUAGAACAGUUUGGAAGUGCGGUAAUGGGUGUUGGAUCCAUGUCACUUUAAAACAGUAAAUCUCUUGUGGCUGCAAAUGUGAUGUUUUGUGCAGGGUGCAGUGGUGCACACCUGGAAUCCUAGCUACUCAGGAAGCUGAUACAAGAGGAUAACAAGUUCAAGGAUGGAUUUAGAAAGUUUAAAGC
rnacentral:lncRNA from 1 species